rnacentral:rRNA from 1 species
GUAGGGAAUAUUGGGCAAUGGUCGGAAGACUGACCCAGCCAUGCCGCGUGCAGGAAGACGGCCCUCUGGGUUGUAAACUGCUUUUAUCUGGGAAGAAAAAGGCCAUGCGUGGCAAAUUGCCGGUACCAGAUGAAUAAGCACCGGCUAACUCCGUGCCAGCAGCCGCGGUAAUACGGAGGGUGCGAGCGUUGUCCGGAUUUAUUGGGUUUAAAGGGUGCGUAGGCGGCUGAUUAAGUCAGCGGUGAAAGACUUCGGCUUAACCGGAGCAGUGCCGUUGAUACUGGUUAGCUUGAGUGUCGGAGGGGUACAUGGAAUUGAUGGUGUAGCGGUGAAAUGCAUAGAUACCAUCAGGAACACCGAUAGCGAAGGCAUUGUACUGGCCGACAACUGACGCUGAUGCACGAAAGUGUGGGGAUCGAACAGGAUUAGAUACCCGUGUAGUCC